GGGAUGCAGUCUGGGACACGUAGUUGCAAACCUAGCGACUUUGUUGUUAGAUUCAAUUACUUUUCAGACCCCCUAACGACUUUUUUUAGAAAGAAAGGGACUUUUAUCGACUUCUUCUGGAGUUUAGAGACUCUGACAUGAAGCAGGCUUUCCUUACUGAGGAGUUAGCAACGCUGCUAAGGGUGCAGAGCCACACAUGCGCUCCGAGCUCUGCAUGGGAGACUGAAGCUGACAGAGCUGCAGCAGUUAGCAGGUUUCACCCUCAGAGACCACCAGGGGUUCAUGUUGAGGCAUUUUCAGUUUUUUUUUUUUUCCCAUAGACUGUCAGCACAAUCUGCAGUUACACUAACAAAAAUGCUGCAAAAAACAAAGAAUUAUGGAAAAAUUACACAUGGACUGACAUAGAGGAGGAUCUACACAAGUUUUUUACAUCAUGUUUUACAUCAUGCAUCAUUUACAUCAUGUUUUUUUGUAGUGGCAUAAAUAAAAAGUGACAUUUGUGAGACUAAACAGUGUUUUGUAAAUAAUUUUACAAAGAACGCCUGGGCCAUUGCCUGCAUUUUGAUGUAAAUAGAGGUAAAUUACUAUGUUCUUUGUUAAAAAUUUGCAUAUGUUUUGAAGUUUACAAUUUUUAUUUGAAGUUUAAGUUUUAAAAACAGUUCAUCACACAUAUUUGUGGUUUAAUUUCACAUUAAUUUCCAUAUUGUAUAAAUGACUGGAAAAAACUUGAGCCCCUGCCCCUGUAUAAUCAUGUGCACGUCCCUGUUCUAGCUCCAAGGUGAAUCUUCACUGCUCAUGUUCUCCUCAGAAAUAGUCACCUCACUCCCCUCAGGUUACUGUACACAUGCACCAACUAUCUGCUUCAGGUUUGGAUGGAGCUUCAUGGUUGUCUUUUGGAGAAAUGAACAGUCAAGUUGUGUUUGAAAUUUGAUUUUUUUCAGGGGCAAAAGGAAGCCUCUGCAUUCUUGUCAAAUAUGUAAACAGCAUGUUUUUGCAGGUGCUAAAAAACAGACUCUGAGUGUGUGUGUGUGUGUGUGUGUGUGUGUGUGUGUGUGUGUGUGUGUAUCCUGCAGUACUCUGUACUCCUGCAGUGGCCAAAAAGACUUUUAAGAAUGUGGAUUUUUGGGUCAUCUUUGGCGCCCCCUAGAACUGCAGUACUCUGUACUCCUGCAGUGGCCAAAAUGACUUUUAAGAAUGUGGAUUUUUGGGUCAUCUUUGGCGCCCCCUAGAACGUAAACCGUGGGGUGCAGCGUCAUGAUUUUUACAACUUUGAAUGGGCAUGGGGUGUAGAUUGCCCUGAGCAAAUUUGGUAUCGGUGGGACGAAAGCCUUAGGAGGAGAUAGCCACAUUCCAAUGUGUGCGAAUCGGCAAAAAAUGCGAAAUAGCCCUUUAACCAUACAUUAUACAGAUACGCGCUUUUUGACUUUUUCGUAGAUCUAAUUGAGAUACACAUGAUUGUCAAUUUUUGUGUCAAUAUGACAAAGCGUUCAGGCGUGACACUCAACAAUGUGUAUUUUCAUGUAAGGGGACAAGAAAAAAUUGACUUUUUUCUCCUGCCAUGGGGGGGCGCUCUUUUGGGGAGUAAAAAUUCCUUCACAAAUGUGUUGAUGGCUGGACAUUGCAUCAUCCUAGAAAACUUGGAGGGCAGUGAGGACAAAAAUAAAAAGUUAUAAGACUUUUAAGAAUGUGGAUUUUGGGUUAUCUUUGGCGCCCCCUAGAACGUAAACCGUGGGGUGCAGCGUCAUGAUUUGGACAACUUUUAAUGGCCAUGGGGGGUAGAUUGGCCUGCGCAAAUGUGGUGCCGGUCGAACGAAAGCCUUCAGAGGAGUUAGCGAAAUUCCAAUGUGUGCAGAUCUGCAAAAAAUGCAAAAUAACCCAUUAACCGUACAUUUGACAGAUACGCCCGCACUGACUUUUUUGUAGAUCUUAUUGAGAUACAUGUGUGUGUCAAUUUUUGUGUCAAUAUGACAAAGCGUACAGCCGUCAUGUGAAUUUUCACCUUAGGGGGCGCUAUGGAGCCAUUUUGCAUUUUAUUGUUUGGGCGACUUCAGAAUAUCGAAUUUUUCACCAGGCCCGGUCGUCCUGCCAAAUUUCCUGAGUUUUCGCCAGUGGGAAGUGGGCCAUUUUCCAGUUUAAAGCGGAGGAAAAAUAAUAACGAAAGAAGGAAACAUGCAGGAACAAGAGGGCUCUCGCAGCUGCUUAGCAGCUACGCUCGGGCCCUAAAAAAACCACUUGGGGAAUAAUAGGGCUCUCGCAGCUGCUUAGCAGCUACGCUCGGGCCCUAACUAGGACCCCGUUGGGGCACUGGCGGGCCCGAGCUGUGUCGCGUCCCCCCCCCAACGCGCUGCCUCCCCGUCCCAUUUGUGUCCUCUGGCCAUCGCCCUCUCUGGUAACGCCCAUCACUGCAAAGACCCUUUUCCUUCAUCGGCGUUUGCUGUUCUUCCUGCCAGUGCGUGUUGCUUUCACUUACACUUGCCACAGCCAGCCUCGUGAGUGCCUAGCCUAUUGGAUAUCACUGUCACCUACACAGGACAGUCAUUACCUUUCUAUUAAUACUUUGUUUUUUAAUUUCACAUUAAUUUCCAUAUUGUAUAAACAACUGGAAAAAACUUGAGCCCCUGCCCCUGUAUAAUCAUGUGCACGUCUCUGUUCUAGCUCUAAGGUGAAUCUUCACUGCUCAUGUUCUCCUCAGAAGCAGUCACCUCACUCCCCUCAGGUUACUGUACACAUGCACCAACUGCCUGCUUCAGGUUUGGAUGGAGCUUCAUGGUUGUCUUUUGGAGAAAUGACCAGUCAAGUUGUGUUUGAAAUUUGAUUUUUUUCAGGGGCAAAAGGAGCCUCUGCAUUCUUGUCAAAUAUGUAAAUAGCAUGUUUUUGCAGGUGCUAAAAACCAGACUCUGAGUGUGUGUGUGUGUGUGUGUGUGUGUGUGUGUGUGUGUGUGUGUGUGUGUGUGUGUGUGUGUGUGUGUGUCUGUGUGUGUGUGUGUGUGUGUGUUCAAGUCACAUGACAUAUUUAACCGGAUGUAGCUGCAAGACGGAGCCUCGUUGACUCUCCGUUUCAACUUAUCUCAAAAGUGAGGACCUCAACCUAUAUACCAGUUUUUAAAUUGUGUUGAUAGGCCAAAUAAAACCAGAGUUAUGAUAAAUUAUGUCCGCGAUACUUGUUUUCUGCUUAUUUUGAUCACGUUCGGCGCUCGAUCGCGCUGUAUGAGACAGGAAAACAUAGCAUGCAGACAUUAGCGACAGGUCUUACAGGCGGAAAAGGCUUGCCAAAGGAAAAAAAAAACACACCACAACAUCUCUCCUAUUGGUGGAAAACUUCACCACAACAACCAAUCCAAAAUUAUAUGGUGACUGAUUGACAAGGGGCGGGCGCUUACGUUCUUCCUGCA